CCUACGGGAGGCAGCAGUGGGGGAUAUUGCGCAAUGGGCGAAAGCCUGACGCAGCGACGCCGCGUGGGUGAUGAAGGCCUUCGGGUCGUAAAGCCCUGUCGAGGGGAACGAAACGGUCUCGACCCAAUACGUCGAGGCCCUGACGGUACCCCUAAAGGAAGCACCGGCUAACUCCGUGCCAGCAGCCGCGGUAAUACGGAGGGUGCAAGCGUUGUUCGGAAUCACUGGGCGUAAAGGGCGUGUAGGCGGUCCGCUAAGUCUGAUGUGAAAGCCCGGGGCUCACCCCCGGAAGGGCAUUGGAAACUGGCGGACUCGAGUCCCGGAGAGGAAGGUGGAAUUCCUGGUGUAGCGGUGAAAUGCGUAGAUAUCAGGAGGAAUACCGGUGGCGAAGGCGGCCUUCUGGACGGUGACUGACGCUGAGACGCGAAAGCGUGGGGAGC
rnacentral:rRNA from 1 species